rnacentral:rRNA from 1 species
GACGAACGCUGGCGGCGUGCCUAAUACAUGCAAGUCGAACGAGAGCGACCGGUGCUUGCACUGGUCAAUCUAGUGGCGAACGGGUGAGUAACACGUGGGUAACCUGCCUAUCAGAGGGGGAUAACAUCCGGAAACGGAUGCUAAAACCGCAUAGGUCUUCGAACCGCAUGGCUUGAAGGGGAAAAGAGGCGCAAGCUUCUGCUGAUGGAGGGACCCGCGGUGCAUUAGCUAGUUGGUGAGGUAACGGCUCACCAAGGCCGUGAUGCAUAGCCGACCUGAGAGGGUGAUCGGCCACAUUGGGACUGAGACACGGCCCAGACUCCUACGGGAGGCAGCAGUAGGGAAUCUUCCGCAAUGGACGCAAGUCUGACGGAGCAACGCCGCGUGAGUGAAGAAGGUUUUCGGAUCGUAAAACUCUGUUGUUAGGGAAGAACAAGUGCUAGAGUAACUGUUAGCGCCUUGACGGUAUCUAACCAGAAAGCCACGGCUAACUACGUG